AUUGAACGCUGGCGGCAGGCCUAACACAUGCAAGUCGAGCGGAUGAAAGGAGCUUGCUCCUUGAUUUAGCGGCGGACGGGUGUGUAAUGCCUAGGAAUCUGCCUGGUAGUGGGGGAUAACGUUCCGAAAGGAACGCUAAUACCGCGUACGUCCUACGGGAGAAAGCAGGGGACCUUCGGGCCUUGCGCUAUCAGAUGAGCCUAGGUCGGAUUAGCUAGUUGGUGAGGUAAUGGCUCACCAAGGCGACGAUCCGUAACUGGUCUGAGAGGAUGAUCAGUCACACUGGAACUGAGACACGGUCCAGACUCCUACGGGAGGCAGCAGUGGGGAAUAUUGGACAAUGGGCGAAAGCCUGAUCCAGCCAUGCCGCGUGUGUGAAGAAGGUCUUCGGAUUGUAAAGCACUUUAAGUUGGGAGGAAGGGCGUUUGGCUAAUAUCCAGGCGUUUUGACGUUACCAACAGAAUAAGCACCGGCUAACUUCGUGCCAGCAGCCGCAGUAAGAC
rnacentral:rRNA from 1 species